rnacentral:rRNA from 1 species
AACGAACGCUGGCGGCGCGCCUAAUACAUGCAAGUCGAGCGAGAAGACGUAGCAAUACGUUUGUAAAGCGGCGAACGGGUGAGGGAAUACAUGGGUAACCUACCCUCGAGUGGGGAAUAACUAGCCGAAAGGUUAGCUAAUACCGCGUACGCUCCUUGGACUUCGGUUCAGGGAGGAAAGCGAUACCGCGGGUAUCGCGCUCUUGGAUGGGCUCAUGUCCUAUCAGCUUGUUGGUGAGGAACGGCUCACCAAGGCUUCGACGGGUAGCUGGUCUGAGAGGACGAUCAGCCACACUGGCACUGCGACACGGGCCAGACUCCUACGGGAGGCAGCAGUAAGGAAUAUUGACGCAAUGGGCGAAAGCCUGACGCAGCGACGCCGCGUGGGGGA